rnacentral:rRNA from 1 species
UACGUAGGGUGCAAGCGUUAAUCGGAAUUACUGGGCGUAAAGCGUGCGCAGGCGGUUUUGUAAGUCUGUCGUGAAAUCCCCGGGCUCAACCUGGGGAAUUGCGAUGGAGACUGCAAGGCUAGAAUCUGGCAGAGGGGGGUAGAAUUCCACGUGUAGCAGUGAAAUGCGUAGAGAUGUGGAGGAACACCGAUGGCGAAGGCAGCCCCCUGGGUCAAGAUUGACGCUCAUGCACGAAAGGCGUGGGGAGCAAACAGG